GACGAACGCUGGCGGCGUGCUUAACACAUGCAAGUCGUACGGUAAGGCCCUUUCGGGGGUACACGAGUGGCGAACGGGUGAGUAACACGUGAGUAACCUGCCCACAACUUUGGGAUAACGCUAGGAAACUGGUGCUAAUACUGGAUAUGUGCUCCUGCUGCAUGGUGGGGGUUGGAAAGCUCCGGCGGUUGUGGAUGGACUCGCGGCCUAUCAGCUUGUUGGUGGGGUAGUGGCCUACCAAGGCGGCGACGGGUAGCCGGCCUGAGAGGGUGACCGGCCACAUUGGGACUGAGAUACGGCCCAGACUCCUACGGGAGGCAGCAGGGGGGAAUAUUGCACAAGGGGCGCAAGCCUGAUGCAGCAACGCCGCGUGCGGGAGGACGGCCUUCGGGUUGUAAACCGCUUUCAGCAGGGACGAAGCUUUUUGUGACGGUACCUGCAGAAGAAGCACCGGCUAACUACGUG
rnacentral:rRNA from 1 species